AAUAAUAUUGAUAUUUUCUUGAACGGGCAUGAUGAAAGGUAAACCUGGUAUGCUUUCAAUUUCUCAGCAGCUGUGAUCCUUUUCGGGGCAAGGGCAGCAUAUUGUUGAGUGCCAGUGCCAGCCAACCGAGCUUCAAGGCCAUCUGCAAAUACACUGGCCAGCCUCUGGUAUGCAUCACCUGUGGGUGAAGAAUGCUGCCUGAUCUGCUUUAGCUGCCGAGCUUCAAGGCCAUCUGCAAAUACGCUAGCCAGCCUCUGGUAUGCAUCACCUGUGGGUGAAGAAUGCUGCCUGAUAUGCUUUAGCUGUUCAUUUGCCGUCCUGCGAUCGUCAGCAGCAACAGAUUGUGCACAGCUAAUUA
rnacentral:lncRNA from 1 species